ACGCCGGGCCUUUUGGCUAAGAUCAAGUGUAGUAUCUGAAUUUUAUCAGUUUAAUGAUUCGAUACGUCCCCAUCUGGGGACCAUAUAUUAAAUUGAUUUUUGGAACAGGGAGAUGGAAUAGGGCUUGCUCCUCAUCUAAUUCCACGAUCGCAUCUGGUAUUGCAGUACUCCAGGAGCUGUGUGCACUUUCU